UCUGCCCUAAUGGGAGUGACUGGGGUGAUGGGAGUGGAUUAAAAUCACCAUUUGCCUCAAUGUCCCACCCAAAAAUACGUCUAUAGGGCUGGGAGGGGCUUCUGAGGAACUUUGGGGGGUGCUGGGGAGUCUCGGGGCGGGGCAAGCACUGGAGUGGGGAGGGGGACAAGAGACCCCCAUGUCCCUGCAGUGCAGCUGCAUGUGGCCGAGCUGCUUUUAAGGACAGAGGCUUGUUCUUCUGCGGGAUUGUAGUCCCACAAUUGGUUGGUGGUCCUGAAUCUAUGGGGUAGGCUGCGGGAACGUGGGACAGGGAAGAUGUGGGACAGGGGGACGUGGGCUGAAGCCGAAAGCCAUCGCCCGGCUGGAGGGACCGCAGGAGGUGCAGCCCCACCGUGAUCUGCCAGACUUGCAGCCGGCCGUGCGCUGCGUCCAGUGCCCGGUGGGAGCUUUGGGAGAGGCUCUGGGUGCCGGCACGCUCCUGCCCCGAGUCUGAGCGGGUCUUUCGUGAUUGUUAGUGGUGUUAAGGUGGAAGAGCUCUGGUGAGAGAGGCGAUUCCUCUGUCCCACCCCUGAGCAGGCAGGUGUUAUAUUAAAGCUCUCCUAAGGCAAUUAAGAGCCCUUCUGGAUAAAACAUAGGUGGUGAAGACCAGGCAAAGCCAUGAGCUGGUUUCUAUUGCUUUUUUUGCCACUGCCAAUGUUUGUAGCAGCUCUUAAUAUUCAGAGCUGCUGGGGGGGGGGGGGGGGGACGACUUGUCAUGGCCAGAGCAGCUGUGGGUUUAGGGGAAAUCCCUGCUCAGAAGCUCUGUCCAGAGUCUGGGGAGCAAGCCAGCCGGGAAGGCGAUGGGAACUUGAGUCACCCUGGCUGCCUCGGGGAGAUUGUUGUGGGCACAAAUGUAAUAACUGUUGUCUCUGAUGACUGCGUGUUUCUAUGUGUUUAUAUGUGAUGUUUGUGUUUAUGUAUGAAGUUUGGAAAGGGAAGGGUCAGUCCAGUGCCAUGAAAACCUGUGAGUUUUCCCAGAGCCCUUUAGAGAAAGCUGCUCUCUAUGCUGGUAAUGGUCUGUGCUAGGGUAGGAGCCUUUAUUUAGUGCUUUUUUUCCUCUUAGCUUUAGUUUUGGCCUAGAAAGUGUACAAAUCUCUCUCCUUUUUUUUUUUUUUCCUUUCCCACCCCGCUGCCCCAAGAUAGAGCGCAUCUAUCUUGCCCCGUAGCCUGUGAUGGCUCGUUUGGCUCCUGCAGCUCCUGCAAAUGCCUCUGUGCUCCCCAGUGAGCAUGUCAGUGCUCUUGGGGGAGUGAGGACAUGUCAGGUCCCACUCCUGGGGAUGGUGGCAGUCAAAGAGAUGGUGUAAUUGUACCAUGGUGCCGAGGCGGCAGCUCUUGCUGAGAGCAGACGGGGGUUUUAAAAGCAGAUGGCUGCAGUUAAAGCAGUCCCGCUUUUCUAAGCCCUGGGAACGAGGUGCCAAGGCAGUGGCGUUGGAGCCCUCGAGCUGGUGGACAGGCAGUUUGGUCUGUGGUCCUGAGUGCUGUUUAGCAGAGGCAGCUGCUGGGAAACUUGUGCAGGCUGUACCCAGCUGCUGAAUGAGCUGCAGGUGACUCUUUCCUUCCUUCCAGGACCGGCUGGCCAGCAUCACCCAACCCAUCCAUCCCUGGUCUGAGGGCAAGCCAGAACUGCUGCUGUUCCACAUCCCUUGGGCUUCUCUGACACACUGCAGCAGAGGGGUCUCACCCCCCAGGAGCACAGAGCAGAGGCUGCCCCGCUCUCCUGCAGUUGAAAGGAGCAGGCUUGGACACAGACAGCCCUUGGCACACAGCUGAGUGGGAAACACAGGAGGUGGAUGAGCAAGCCCCAGGGCAGACGACAUGAGCCAAGUGGGACACACAGCCUCUGCUACACAGGGAAAUGGUGACAAGCUCCAGCCUAAGCCCACAGGCUCAGUGCCUGGCCCUGGACAGUAGCGCUCUCAACAUUUAGCUUAGCAUGAGCACAAGUCCAGGCUGGAGGAAUAAACCCAGCCCCAGCAGCAUUAGGGCAAAGCUGAGACUUUGUUCCCUAAGCACUGCCUUUGAGCCAAGGGGACCACACAGCCCUCCGUGCUGGCAUACGUCCUUGCUGCUUUACACCCUCUCUCCUACACUAACAUUGACUAUGAAGCCAGACUUAAGCACACUCUCAGGGCUUCCUGCAAAGUUAAGUGCAUCAUGUCAGCACUGCAGGAGCAGCAAGGCCUUGGGACCACCAGUACCAUUUGUACCCCCAUCUAUCCCCAGCUGAACAUCAGCACAAGCAGAGACAAAGCCCUUCUCUCAAGCCCAGGGCCUAAAAUUCACUUUAUUAGCAGCUCUGGAUUAACAGAGCUCUGGAGAAGAGCCCACAGGCAAGUACAGUACCAGAUACUCAGGCAAGGGAGAUAGAUAGCUGCAGGCUGGAGAGCUAAGGACACCAGAGAAAAAGGGGGAGAAGAAAAGGGUGAAAACAAAGCACCCCAGGUUUCACAGUGAGUCACAGCCCCCCUCACUGCCCUUUCCCUCCCCACCGCUUUUGUCCACACAGACACCCUUUCCCCUGGGCACCUUCUCCCAGUACACGUGGCACAUCACCAACAUCCUGCAGGUCAAGCAGAUCUUUGAUACAUCCAUGGUAAGUGGGGGAGGCAGCCCCCCAGCCAACCCUUAACAGCUUCAUCCAGAACCAGGACAGGACCUACAAGCUCUUCAGGUGCCCCAAGGUAGAAAGCAUCAUGUGGAGAAGCAGCUGGCCAUCCAGCCACUGGAGCUCGAGACCUUCCUCAAAGUAGGAAACACCUCCCCCACGCAGAAGGAGCCCACCCCCUUCAUCAUCGAGUGGAUCCCGAACAUCCUCCCACAGUCCCGCAUCGGCGAGCUCCGCAUCAAGUUCCAGUACGGACACCACGGUGGCCCCCGGCCCCCCACCGCCGUCGAGCCAGCGCUGGAGCUCACCCCGCUCACCACCAUCACCUUCCCCUGAGCCCCCGGGCGGGGGGGGCACAGCACCCACCGGAACAGAGACAUCCCGAGCCGAGUCCACAGCUCUGCUCCAACACAGGCACCUGCAAAAAAUAAAAGUUGACACAUCCUGGG